AGGACCCAUCUCUGUGGUGCGUUGUGCGGCUCCCGGUUCCGCGCUGUGGGCUGCCUUUCCGCUACGCCCCCGCGCCUGGGGUCCUGCUCUCCGCCUGGCCUGCCGCGCUGCCGGUGAGUGCGGGCGCGGGGCGCGGGAUCCCGGGGUCCCGGCCCGAGUUUCCAUCCCGCGCCGGCCUGGGCCGCCGCUCACCCUCCAGCGGGGCACGGAGCCGGGAGACGCAGCCCGGCCGGAAGUCCCGGCCCUCCCCGGACCCCCGACCCUGGAGCCUGGACCCUGGAGUUGGAGGGGCCGUCGUGAGCAUCCCGGGGGUGCCCGGCGGGCCUUGGGGGCUUGCCGAUCCAGUCCGCGUCCCCCUGGGCAGAGGGGGCCCUGGGUGCUCCCAUCUCCAGAGGGGCCAAGCGUGAUCCUGAAAACCGCGUUCUUCGAGCUCGGGCCCCUCCCGUUCCAGGCAAUGAACAAAACCCCUUCCAGAUACUCCAGAUACCCCCGUUUAGCGCCCUCAGCAGCCUGUGUGUGGGGAUAGCAUUCUCUCUGCUCCUUGAAUGAGGAACCGAGGCCCCGGGACUUUGAGCAACUUGCCCGGGAAUCAGCCGCGGGUGAGCAGCCAGGACGCUUUGAUUUAGCUCAGCUCUUUUCCUUUUGUCAAUGAGGAGUCCUGAACACAUCAUUUCCAGUGUCGCAAGUUUGACCCCUGAGGCACAAGAAAGCAAGGCCUGCCCCGGACAAUGGCGGCCACACCCGGUCUCGAUCCUCCACCGCCCCUGGAGCAAGACGACAUCCUGAUCGUGAAGGUGGAGGAGGAUUUCUGCUGGGAAGAGGAGCUCUCCCAGGAGUCGGAAGACCCCAGCCCUGAGACCUUCCGCCAGCUGUUCCGGCUCUUUUGUUACCAGGAGGUGGCCGGGCCUCGGGAGGCCCUGAGCCGCCUUUGGGAGCUCUGCUGCCGCUGGCUGCGGCCAGAGCUUCGCACCAAGGAGCAGAUCCUGGAGCUGCUGGUGCUGGAGCAGUUCUUGAUGGUGCUGCCCGGGGAGAUCCAGGCCCGGGUGCGGGAGCAGCAGCCGGAGAGUGGUGAGGAGGCCGUGGUCCUCGUGGAAGGGCUGCAGCGGGAGCCCAGGAAACAGAGGCAGCGGGGCCUGGAAGUGCUCCCUGAUGAUGUACUGCCCCACGGAACAGGAGAACAGUGCUUGAAACACCAAGAGGAGGCCAGGCCAGGGGACCUGUCUCUGGAGGAAGGGUCUGGAUGCUCCAGCCAGCAGUCCCCAGCCCAGCGGGGCCACAGACCAAAGAGGGACCCCCAGCUCUGGCCAAAGAGGGGCCCAGCGGCCUCUCAGCAUCAGGAGAUGGCAACAGGAUCGGCCACGUCCUUUGUUCCAUCCCGGUCCCGGCAGGCGCCAGUGACCUUGGAGGACAUGGCAGCGUACCUGUCCCAGGAGGAGUGGCAACGCCCGGACCCGACUCCGCGGGACUGCAGCUGGGACGUGCUACCAGAGAAGAGGGGGCUUGGGCUGCAACCUGAGGAUGGAGAGGACUCCAGGAAGCAUGUGUCGAUGAGCAGGGAGCGGGACCGAGAGCCGGUCAGGGGCAUGACCAGGCCCGAGCAGCCUCCAGAGAGAGGAGGACCCCGACGAGUUGAAAAGCCCUACACGUGCCCCGAGUGCGGCAAAGGCUUUAGUAAAACGUCCCACUUAACGAAGCACCAGCGCACACACACCGGGGAGAGGCCUUACAAGUGUCAGGUGUGCGGGAAGGGCUUCAGCGACCGCUCCAACUUCAGCACGCACCAGAGAGUCCACACGGGCGAGAAGCCCUACGCAUGCGCCGAGUGCGGGAAGCGCUUCAGCCAGAGCUCCAGCCUGGUCAUCCACCGCAGGACACACACCGGGGAGCGGCCGUACGCGUGCGCCGAGUGUGGGAAGCGCUUCAGCAACAGCUCCCACUUCAGUGCGCACCGGAGGACACACGCAGGUGAGAAGCCCUUUGUGUGCUCAGCCUGCGGCAGGGGCUUCCGCCGGGGCACCGACCUCCACAAACACCAGCGGAUGCACAGUGGGGAGCACCAGCCGGGCCAGCAGAGCCCCCCCACGGCGCGGCUCCAGGAGGCCCCUGGGCCGAGGUCCAGCCACCACUCGUCGAGCUGUCCGCUUCCGAGGUCCCUUUCGGAAUAUCGAGGUCAGAGUUCAUGAAGCUGCUGGAGUUACUGUCUUGGAACUAAAACCCUAAUUUGAAGGCAUUUCACACCUACCCCACUAGCCCCUGGUGUGGGCCCAGCCCGCAGCUGUGGGAUGUUUCAGGUGCCCAUGCUGAGGGAAGAAUCCAAGCACUGGGUUUGGCAGUGGCAGCUAGACAUGGAGCAGGUGGCCCUGGGUCCCGCAGCCUGGGUGGCUCACCACAGGGAUGAUUCUCAGUUCAGGAGGCCAGAGUCCGAACUCAAGAUGUGGGCCGAGCUGCUUCCCUCUGGAGGCCCUGAUAGGAGAGACCAUCCCAUGCCUCCCUCCUGGCUUCGGGUGUUGCCCGUGUUCCUGGUUUGUGGCCGCAUCACCCCCAUCUCUGCCUCUUCUCUGCUCUGGUGUCCUCUUCGCUUAUAAGGGCACCGUCGUUCAGUUUAGGGCCCCCAGUCCAGAAUGACCUCAUCUUAAUUACCUUAAUUACAUCUGCAAAGAGCUUAUUUCCAAACAAGGGCCUAUUCUGAGAUUGUGGGUGGACAUGAAGCUGGGGACACUUGUCAGCCCAUUUCACAGAAGCCUCCAGGGCUCCGCUUCUGUUGGCAGCUCCACACCCCAGGCUUCCCUGGUCUCCCACCUUCCCCUCCAGCCUUGCCACACUUUCAGUAUAUAGGCUGCAGGGGCUGUUUCCGUACCUCUGUGGGGGCAGUGGGGUGAACGGGGGUCACCGUGGAUCCAUGGCUGUUCUGAAGGGUGAAUGCCUGGUGUGGGAACGCUUCCCUGAUACCACAUCUUUCAAUCUCCCCCAGCCCGUGAGGCGGCCUGUGGAUUCGACUGGCCUUGCCCUCUGCCCCAGGCAGGAGGCCAGGCUUGCCUUUGCUCCAGCCUCAAGUGGCCAGGACAGAGGCAGCCUUGGCUGCCCCACUUUGUUGUGGACAGGCCUCUGACCUGUUCACAUCCACUCUCUCCAGGGAAGCUGAGGGGAGCCGUGUAGAAUCCUUGUUCCAUUUCAUCAUUACUGGAGUCUUGGGGCAGCUGCUAAAACCACUCAGUUUUAGUAUUCCGUGCAGGGAGUGUGGCAGUUUCCCAAGGUGGGCUGGCCUGGGACCUUGUGCUGUGCUCCGUUCUGUUUGUCACCCAAUCACUGUAGAUAUUUUCUACCUUCCUGCAUAACCCAGGUUCCAGGGUACGUGAUCUGUUCUCAGUUCCCUUAAUAAACAAAGUCAGUCCUCCUGCCCUGUGUGUUUUCUGGGGAAGGGGGCCACUCAGUUGAAGCAUGCUUCAUACCUCCUAGGGCAGCUUCCAGAGCCCUUGAGCAUGCCUGGUGUUGCUGACCACUCACCUUCCCUAUGCAGCCGGGAGUCUGCAGGUUCGCCUGUUACGUCCAGGUUGGUGCUGGAGGUGGCUGGCUGCCCGCUUCCUGGCCUGGGACCUGGGCCCAUUAGUGCCUCUUCCAGAGUAUUCUCUCAGCCAGUCCUAGGACAGGGCUUUUGUGACUCUUACUAUAAAUGGGAGACUGAGGUCCUGAAUGCUUCUAGCACCUUGUCCAGGCGACAGAACUGGCUUUGAACUUGGAUCAGAAUGCCUCCCACACCAUCUUGGCUUGCCUUUAACGGUCAUUUACCCACUUGAACUUGGAACAAAAAGUUUAUUUUCUGUCACUGUUUUUAUCCUAAAUGAACUUACUGGCAUUAAAAGGGGUAAAGAUGGGGAAAAUGGGUUUAAAGGGAAAAAACUGGCCAUUGCUCUGGACAGGCUGCAUGGGGGGCGGUGGGUCCCAUUUAGUCUGCCUUUGCCCAGCGCCUGAGCCCCGGCCGUGCUGCACAUGCCCUAGAGCAGAGGGUGAGGGGCUUUCACAGAUGGGCAAGACCGGGAACCUGGGGGACAGCCUGGCCACCUUCCCUGCAGGUAGGCCCAGCCAGGGCCUCCUGUGGCCUUGGUGGGAGCUGUCUUGGACCUGGCCCCUCAUUGUUGGGCGUGGGCGCUGGUGCUCCCAUGGCUGCAUCAAGUGGGGUCCGUGGCCCGCUUUUGGCUGCCUGUGGCUGAGGCCGAGCAAAACCUGCCUUCCCCGGUGCGGGGAUUUGGUGGAGAGAGACCCUUGCCCACCCUCCACUCACGCAGCAGAUGGUAACUCCAACUGAAUGUCACAGGGCAUGUCAGCACGUUAAAGGCUUCUAGGAGCAAAGCCGUGUGAUACUUCUCAACUCAAAAUUUUUCUUUUUUUCUAUUUGCCUAAUCAUGUACCACUUUAGGAGAAAAGCUGCAUUUGACCCUGACAUGGAUCCUGUCCUUCGGGAUCCUAUCCGCAGGCUUUGCAAAAACAACAGAUCCAGCAUAUGAGCCUGAGUGACCCCCCUGCACCAUCGUGUGGGGCCUCUGCACCGUGGGGAGCGGGCCUUCCCUGAAUGUGACACUGCACUUCUUACUUCACUCAGGCCUUUCAUCUCAGAUGCCAAGGACCCUGCCAAGCUACUGAGCCCAUGUCACAGUUUUAGUUUUGAAAAAGACCUUGCAUGAUGGCAAUACCAGAUGCACACGAAAGAG